rnacentral:rRNA from 1 species
CCUACGGGCUGCAGCAGUGAGGAAUAUUGGUCAAUGGGCGUAAGCCUGAACCAGCCAAGUCGCGUGAGGGAUGAAGGUUCUAUGGAUCGUAAACCUCUUUUAUCAGGGAAUAAAGUGUGGGACGUGUCCUGUUUUGUAUGUACCUUAUGAAUAAGGAUUGGCUAACUCCGUGCCAGCAGCCGCGGUAAUACGGAGGAUCCGAGCGUUAUCCGGAUUUAUUGGGUUUAAAGGGUGAGUAGGCGGCCUUUUAAGUCAGCGGUGAAAGUCUGUGGCGCAACCAUCGAAUUGCCGUGGAAACUGGGAGGCUUGAGGAGGUGUGAGGCAGGCGGAAUGCGUGGUGUAGCGGUGAAAUGCUUAGAUAUCACGCAGAACCCCGAUUGCGAAGGCAGCCUGCCAAGCCAUGACUGACGCUGAUGCACGAAAGCGUGGGGAUCAAACAGGAUUAGAUACCCGUGUAGUC